UACGGGGGGGGCAAGCGUUGUUCGGAAUUACUGGGCGUAAAGGGCGCGUAGGCGGCCUGCUAAGUCGGAUGUGAAAUCCCUCGGCUUAACCGGGGAACUGCGUCCGAUACUGGAUGGCUUGAGAUUGGGAGAGGGAUGCGGAAUUCCAGGUGUAGCGGUGAAAUGCGUAGAUAUCUGGAGGAACACCGGUGGCGAAGGCGGCAUCCUGGACCAACACUGACGCUGAUGAGCGAAAGCCAGGGGAGCAAACGGG
rnacentral:rRNA from 1 species